rnacentral:rRNA from 1 species
UACGAAGGGGGCUAGCGUUGUUCGGAAUUACUGGGCGUAAAGCGCGCGCAGGCGGUCCUUUAAGUCGGGGGGUGAAAGCCCAGAGCUCAACUCUGGAACUGCCUUCGAAACUAGAGGACUUGGGUACGGGAGAGGUGAGUGGAACUCCGAGUGUAGAGGUGAAAUUCGUAGAUAUUCGGAAGAACACCAGUGGCGAAGGCGGCUCACUGGCCCUUACCGACGCUCAGGCGCGACAGCGUGGGGGAGCAAACAGG